CUUUACUGCAACUUUACAUUGAUAUUGGGUAAAUGAUGUGUAGGAUAGGUGGGAGACUUUGAAGCGGUGUCGCUAGGCAUCGUGGAGCAACGUUGAAAUACCACCCUUUAUUUACUUGGUGUCUAAUCCCGAUUUAUCGGGAAACAGUGUAUGGUGGGUAGUUUGACUGGGGUGGUCGCCUCCAAAAAAGUAACGGAGGCUCCCAAAGGUACCCUCAGCACGAAUGGUAACCGUGCGCAGAGUGUAUUGGCACAAGGGUGCUUGACUGUGAGACCGACAAGUCGAGCAGGUAGGAAACUAGGGCAAAGUGAUCCGGUGGUUCCGUAUGGAAGGGCCAUCGCUCAAAGGAUAAAAGGUA
rnacentral:rRNA from 1 species